CUUCAAUGGUUUCUCUUCACUACGCACAAGCCUUUCGCUUUUAGCUAAAGACUUCCGUGGAGAGGAACACUUUACGAAGUUCAACGUAUUUUUGGAAGGGCUUUGAGCUUU
rnacentral:snRNA from 1 species